AAAUAAACCAGAUGGGAGCGGCAUCUUUUUUGGCUGCCUUUCGACUCCGCUCAGGAUGGCAGGCUAAAAGAUACAGCGUACAGCGGGACUACCA
rnacentral:sRNA from 2 species